UAGGAUGUUUUUGGAUUCAGGUCUCUGAGC
rnacentral:piRNA from 1 species